AGAAGGAGUAACAUUUUUAAUUAUUAAAAGGCCCCCAUAUAAUUGCGGUCCCUGGCCCCCAAAAUCUCAGGACCUUGCCUGGCUACAACCGUAGAGUCUCAACCGAGAAAUACACAGCACAAGGCUCCAACACACUGAAACACACGACAGAAGAACAGAGACGGUAUAGGAUGCCAGCACGGCCAGGAACACUGCAAUCCGGUGGAUCACCACAACUGCAUUACACAUUCACGUCCCAAGCCAAGAUCUUGAUUAUUGCGUAACUGUGUUACAAAGGUAGAGUUUACUCACAACAAUGAUCGUUCUCUGUUUCACUCGAAAGAACAGAGACGGUAUAGGAUGCCAGCACGGCCAGGAACACUGCAAUCCGGUGGAUCACCACAACUGCAUUACACAUUCACGUCCCAAGCCAAGAUCUUGAUUAUUGCGCAACUGUGUUACAAAGGUAGAGUUUACUCACAACAAUGAUCGUUCUCUGUUUCACUCGAACAAUCGCUUACAUUGAACGUCUGGUGCAAAACGGGUGCAACUGCAAUGGGAGAAACUAUACCGUGGUUUACGCAGCCAUGAUGCAUUCAAUGGCUUCCUUGCAGAUCCCAGUCAUGGUCGCCUCUGGUCCGUACACCUGCAACGAGUUUUUUUAAGCAUAGUCAGGUCAUCUGUUAUGGGGAUGGAGGCAUGGAGCUGAUCCCGGUGAUUUCAUUUCAGGAAACGGCAUGUACGGCGUUUCUGUGAAAGAAGAAUGAGCAAUCAUACCUCAAUUGGGACACCAAGUUCCGCACCAAGAGUGCGCAUUUUCGCGAGUCCGGUUUGGUAGUUUGGACCGCCUCUCCGGACGUAAAUGUUCAUCCU
rnacentral:lncRNA from 1 species